GACGAACGCUGGCGGUGUGCUUAACACAUGCAAGUGGUGCGACGAACCAGAGCUUGCUCUGGGGCAACGCCGCGAACGGGUGAGUAACACGUGGGUAAUCUACCCCGCUUACCGGGACAACCCGAGGAAACUCGGGCUAAUACCGGAUGUGGUGCGGAGACAUAAGUCUCUUCACUAAAGUUAGCUUCGGCUUCCGCAUUGGGAGGGGCCCUCGGCCCAUUAGCUUGUUGGUGGGGUCAAGGCCUACCAAGGCAACGAUGGGUAGCUGGUCUGAGAGGACGAUCAGCCACACUGGGACUGAGACACGGCCCAGACUCAUACGGGAGGCAGCAGUGGGGAAUCUUGCGCAAUGCGCGAAAGCGUGACGCAGCAACACCGCGUGAGGGAAGAAGGCCUUAGGGUUGUAAACCUCUUUCAGAGGGGACGAAGGUUCUACGGUGAAUAGCCGAGAGGAUUGACGGUACCGUCAGAAGAAGCUCCGGCUAACUACGUG
rnacentral:rRNA from 1 species